rnacentral:rRNA from 3 species
CUGGGAGGACCAUCUCCUAAGGCUAAAUACUCUCUAGUGACCGAUAGUGAACCAGUACCGUGAGGGAAAGGUGAAAAGCACCCCGGAAGGGGAGUGAAAUAGAACCUGAAACCGUGUGCUUACAAGUAGUCAGAGCCCGUUAAUGGGUGAUGGCGUGCCUUUUGUAGAAUGAACCGGCGAGUUACGAUUUGAUGCAAGGUUAAGCAGUAAAUGUGGAGCCGUAGCGAAAGCGAGUCUGAAUAGGGCGUUUAGUAUUUGGUCGUAGACCCGAAACCAGGUGAUCUACCCUUGGUCAGGUUGAAGUUCAGGUAACACUGAAUGGAGGACCGAACCGACUUACGUUGAAAAGUGAGCGGAUGAACUGAGGGUAGCGGAGAAAUUCCAAUCGAACCUGGAGAUAGCUGGUUCUCUCCGAAAUAGCUUUAGGGCUAGCCUCAAGUGAUGAUUAUUGGAGGUAGAGCACUGUUUGGACGAGGGGCCCCUCUCGGGUUACCGAAUUCAGACAAACUCCGAAUGCCAAUUAAUUUAACUUGGGAGUCAGAACAUGGGUGAUAAGGUCCGUGUUCGAAAGGGAAACAGCCCAGACCACCAGCUAAGGUCCCAAAAUAUAUGUUAAGUGGAAAAGGAUGUGGCGUUGCCCAGACAACUAGGAUGUUGGCUUAGAAGCAGCCAUCAUUUAAAGAGUGCGUAAUAGCUCACUAGUCGAGUGACACUGCGCCGAAAAUGUACCGGGGCUAAACAUAUUACCGAAGCUGUGGAUUGUCCUUUGGACAAUGGUAGGAGAGCGUUCUAAGGGCGUUGAAGCAUGAUCGUAAGGACAUGUGGAGCGCUUAGAAGUGAGAAUGCCGGUGUGAGUAGCGAAAGACGGGUGAGAAUCCCGUCCACCGAUUGACUAAGGUUUCCAGAGGAAGGCUCGUCCGCUCUGGGUUAGUCGGGUCCUAAGCUGAGGCCGACAGGCGUAGGCGAUGGAUAACAGGUUGAUAUUCCUGUACCACCUAUAAUCGUUUUA